GAACUUGAAUUACAUCUGCUAAAUUACAAAAAUAACAUACAUGAAGGAAACCUGCCAACAAGGCAUAUGUACGUAUACAUGCAGAAUACAGUGGGCGAGCCGGCAAGGCUACUAUAGACAAUUAUACAUCCAAAACUGAUAGCCGACAAGGCCACAUAAAACCCAACUAGACAUACUAUCUACAAACCUCUAAUAGAAACGUAACCGUAAAAAGAUAGGACUGAGCCAUGUCAUACCCAUAUAUAUAUAUAUAUAUACAAACGUAUUGUACCAAAAUCAAAAGCAGCUUCGGAUCAAGUGGAGCACGCCAACUUUCACUGAUAAGGGAUGCUAAGGAGGGGGACCGUCAGCUUGCCUACCUGCACCUGCGGGCAUGAAAUGCAGACCCCGUGAAAUAAGGCGUCAGUAUGAAAAAUGUACUAAGUAUGUAAGACAUGAAAACUAGUACGUAAAAGACAUAGAUGAAACAUGGAAUAAAGAAACACAUCUAUAAAUCUGAAUAACUUUGUAAAUUUUGAAACAUUUAUAAUGUCAUGCACGUGCAUAUAAAUAUCGUGUCAUGCGUAGGUGUCACACCUCCUUUUUACCUACACCCCCGUAAAGGGUGUAUAAGGGAGUUUUUUCCAAUUUAUGUAACAAUCGAAACGGGAUUAUUUAUUAAAAUUUAGAGUUGCCACUUGGGAGAUUUAUGGUGUCCCAAAUCACCGGUUUAAACCUAUGUGCCUUUUAUUUUGAGCCGCUUUUAAUUCAUUUAUUAGGAAGAUUUGAACGUCAUACAAAACACGUCUUUGGACCACACCAUAUGAAAUGCACCUGCGGUCCGCGAUACAUUUUAUUUAACGUUGUUGGGAUUUGGAUUUGGGUGACAUGAAAUGCACACCCAAGUUUAAGAAAAUUAAUUAUUAAAUAACACGCCUAAAGUAACUAUGCAUUUUUCAACUUUGCGAGGGCCAUGGAAAAUCAACUAAAUGGCACGCUUCGAAUUCUAAGGAUAAAAAAUAUUAAUUAAGCGAGGGCCAUGCAUUUUGAGAUUUUAUUUGACAUAGCACACCUCGAUUACUUUCAAUUCCAAGGUAACACAACUAAAUGGGUUUAUACCGAUAUGAACAAUCCAAUAUCCUUUUUGAUAUGAACCGACACACAAAUCCAAAGCCCAAAUUUACAACUUGUCAUGUCAUUCUUUUAAAACCAAGCAAUACUAAACAAAUAAAAUAACCACAUUUGAUUUAUACAAGAACAAGCAACAUCUUUAGCAAUGGGCUUUGUUCAAUUUUUAUUGCACCCACUAUUGACCAAAAAAAUCAAAUAACGCAAGCACUGACAUGUUGUAGGCUAAACCCAUUUAAUUCAUUAUUCUAGAAUAGAACCAUUUAAUCAUAACUUAAGCCAAACAAACAUAAACAUGAAGAACAUCAAACACAAUAAUGCACUGAUUUAAAAUUUACCGCAGAACAAAUGGAAUCAACAUUUGAAUAGAUCCAAAACUUGUAGUCUUGAUUCAAUACCUUAGAUUAGAGGAAUCGGAUUUCCUUGAAAGCUUUUAAAAUGUAUAUGGACUUCCGAGCAGAAACUAAACAGAGUUGACGAAUUCGAAGCGGGACCGCGGACGGAUUGAUUUUGCCGAACCGAACUCGUACUCACCUCAACAACACCUCAGUCAGAAAUGGCUGGAAGUUCAGGAGUAGCGGGAUGGGGUCGAAGAAGAAGAAGAUUCAGGGGGCGUCCGUUUUUGUGAAAAGUUGCGCUGCUCCCUUCUUUGCAGAAUGUCCCUGCGUUCUUUUUUCUUGUAGUCUAGGUCUAGGAAUUGAAAGCUU
rnacentral:lncRNA from 1 species